UAGGCUAAGAGUUAGGAAUGAAACCUGUCAAGAGUGCUGCCCCACAUCCACCUAGCAGGAAACAGUUAAGAUGGAAAAACAUUGAGAAAUUAUGCAUCUAAUUUGUUUGCUUCCAAAAUUUUCUUGUAAAGAAAUUUUCCAAGGAAGGCAUAGUUACACAUGGAACAAUAACGACACUGCACACGAGCUCCUGAAAGAGAUGGCAGUCUCCAGGAUUCGAGUGUAUGGUGCUGUUCUGCCUCCUAUCACAGGAGUCACUGCAUUUCUAAAAUCCUUUACCUGCUACAGAAAUUAAAUCACAUUUGGGAACAGCCCUUUAUGAUAAGAAAAUCUCCAUCAUAAUAUCGCAAAGGUUCCAUCUGAGCAAGUCCCCCUGCUUGGGCCCAGCUUGCUGAUUUGAUCCUGCCAAUCCAGAGAGACAGUUCAGCAAGGCCCUGCUGAAAUUAACCAACCUAAAAGGCCCUCUUUGUCACCCCAGUGAAGUAGAACGAGUCAAUUCUAUACCAAGUGCUUUGGUCAGGCAAUAAUGGACUUUUCUUUCCUGCAGUAGAUCAGCUGACGUCAGUAGGUGGGAGGUCUGCCAAGCCACAACAGGCUGUCUCUGGGGAGCUGGGUAUCUGAAAGUCACCAAUGUGCUCCCACUGCAGUCAGCAUUCAGAAUUUUCAUUUGUGCAAUUACAGGAGACACCAAAAAACAUUAUGGGUUAGUGAGAGUUUCCCCCCUCUUAACCUGACAGGGAGCUGUCUCUUGUUUAUCUACACGAGUUCCAGUUUCUUUUUGCUCCUAAAAGGGUCAUUUCUGCAGACUACAUUAAACACAGGAAAAUUCUCAUAAAUAUCAUUAAGAAUUCCUGCCAUCCAAAGGUGCUACAGCCUCUCACCCGAAACUGUCAGUUACUGAAAUGUCAGCUCAGCUCGGCCUGGGCGUGCCACAUUCCUUCCACAACCGAGGCUGCAUGCUGCAAGCACCCCACCCCUUCCCUGGCAUAUGCAGCAGACUGAUAAGGCCGACUUCACAGAGAACGUUCCAGGCUGUUCCCAGCCAUAUGGGAUUAACGCCUUUUGAGAGCACCAGAAAGGAAAAAUCUGGGAAACGUGCCAUUAAAAAACAAACUCCAAUCUUACCAGCCUAUCUAUCAGUUCCACUAACUGCCUAAAAACCACAACAGAGACGACUUCCUAGGAAUGCAAUCAACUGACUGCUUAUCUCAAAGGAGCCAACUGUCUCUGAUUUUGCCAAUCAAGUCUGUUCACAUAGAGACUGAAGGAGGGGAAAUGAAGUGCUAAGUAUAUUCUCUAUAUGUUUAAGGACAACUUCCCAUUUAAGGUAACUUAAAAAAAAAGGUAUAUAUUUGCAAAAUAUUAUUAGAGGAGACUGAAGACGUAGGCUAUUUAUAAAUGCUGCAACGCAGCAGUCAAACGUUAGCUGCAUCAUUCAGCAAGUAAUGCGAAUCUCAGGGGGAUAAAGCAGGAAUUACAACUAUGUCCUCUAUUGUAAUAAAUAAAAUGAAUAAAAUGAACUUGUCAGCAUUCUUACAAUACUACCAGAUCUCGGAAGAAGAGUGGGGUCUGAAUAUAUGAAUCUUGGCUAGAAAUUUCUAAUAUACAGCUGGGCGCGGUGGCUCACGCCUGUAAUCCCAGCACUUUGGGAGGCUGAGGCAGAUGGAUCACGAGGUCAGGAGAUUGAGACCAUCCUGGCUAACACGGUGAAACCCCGUCUCUACUAAAAAUACAAAAAAUUAGCCGGGCGUGGUGGCGGGCACCUGUAGUCCCAGCUAUUCGGGAGGCUGAGGCAGGAGAAUGGCGUGAACCUGGGAGGCGGAGCUUGCAGUGAGCCGAGAUCGCGCCACUGCACUCCAGCCUGGGCGACAGAGCGAGACUCCGUCUCAAAAAAAAAAAAAAAAAAAAAAGAAAUUUCUAAUUUAAUCCAAAGAUACAGCAUGCUUCAGAAUGAUCCAGGAUAUCAAACACAAACUUAUACACAGUAUCAACUGAAAAUGGAUUCCUACAAAAUAGAUUAGACAUGAAUAUCUUUGUCUUAUUGAUGAACGCCAAGAGACAGCUGUUUGAGGCAGUUCUUGGUAUUUGGGGAAUUUUCAUUCCCCAAAUAAAAAUUUGGGGGUAUUUG
rnacentral:lncRNA from 1 species